rnacentral:tRNA from 2 species
GGAGCCAUAGCUCAGCUGGUUAGAGCGCUUCCCUGUCACGGAAGAGGUCGCGGGUUCGAAUCCCGUUGGCUCCGCCA